AAAUAAAUAAAAUCGGGCACAAACAAAUAAUGCAUGAGUGUAAGUGCAAGAGAACCGGCUCAUUGUAAGAAAGCCCAAGAGUAAGCUAUGUGAGGUUGACGGCGAUGCUUAAAAAGCAAUCGACUUACAAGGGUGUGAAAAAGGGGCUCGAUAUUAAAUCGAGAAAAUAUGAUUUUUAUAAGUUAAAAAAUGGUUUCGAAUGCAUGAUGCAAUUAAAAGAAAAAAACAAAUCUAUAUUAUUAAACAAUAAAUAA
rnacentral:lncRNA from 1 species